rnacentral:tRNA from 1 species
GGGGAUUUAGCUCAGCGGCAUAAGCGCCUGCCUUGAAAGCAGGCAGUCGUGAGUUCGAUCCCUGGUACCCA